UAGGGAAUAUUGGUUAAUGGGCGAAAGCCCGAACCAGCAACGCCGCGUGUGCGAUGAAGGCCUUCGGGUCGUAAAGCACUUUUAGAGAGGAAGAGGAAGGACGGUACUCUUUGAAUAAGCUUCGGCUAACUACGUGCCAGCAGCCGCGGUAACACGUAGGAAGCGAGCGUUAUCCGGAUUUACUGGGCGUAAAGCGCGUGUAGGCGGUCUGGUUAGUUGGAUGUGAAAGCUCCCGGCUUAACUGGGAGAGGUCGUUCAAUACUGCCAGACUUGAGAGUGGUAGAGGGAGAUGGAAUUCCGGGUGUAGUGGUGAAAUGCGUAGAUAUCCGGAGGAACACCAGUGGCGAAAGCGAUCUCCUGGACCAUUUCUGACGCUCAGACGCGAAAGCUAGGGUAGCAA
rnacentral:rRNA from 1 species